rnacentral:rRNA from 1 species
UUGAACGCUGGCGGCAUGCCUUACACAUGCAAGUCGAACGACGGCAGGGGGCAACUCCUGUCGAGUGGCGAACGGGUGAGUAAUACAUCGGAACGUGUCCCGUCGUGGGGGAUAACCAGUCGAAAGACUGGCUAAUACCGCAUGAGAUCGAAAGAUGAAAGCGGGGGACCGCAAGGCCUCGCGCGACGGGAGCGGCCGAUGCCGGAUUAGCUAGUUGGUGGGGUAAAGGCUUACCAAGGCGACGAUCCGUAGCUGGUUUGAGAGAACGACCAGCCACACUGGGACUGAGACACGGCCCAGACUCCUACGGGAGGCAGCAGUGGGGAAUUUUGGACAAUGGGCGCAAGCCUGAUCCAGCCAUGCCGCGUGUGUGAAGAAGGCCUUCGGGUUGUAAAGCACUUUCGGACGGAACGAAAUCGCGCGGGCGAAUAUCCCGCGUGGAUGACGGUACCGUAAGAAGAAGCACCGGCUAACUACGU